AGUAUGGAUUCCCGGGCACUGCCUCACCCACUGCUUCGGUAAAAAAAGCUGUUUCGGAGGCAGCGCCCGCCUAAAAAAAAAAAAAAAAAAAAAAAAGUUUGUACUCUAACCCCACUAAACAGGACGUGCGGAGUCGAAUGCACUCACUCCUGAACUGAUAGCUCUAACCGUUCCAGAGAUAGCUUUCCCAAAACCUUGCUAAUUACUUACUAAUCACCACCUUAUCAGUUACUAUUUCCUGCACGAAAUCCCCACUCAUUAUCUAAUUACUUAAUGACUCAGUACGAAUGCAUCGUUAUCUACUUUCCUACAUUCACUAACCCGAUCUAUGGCUCUAAAAGAAAAAUAGAAUAAUAUAAUAUAAUAAACUAUAUCUAACCUAACCUAACCUACGGGUCUAAGCAAACAACAAUAAAUAUACCUACAUUAACACCAUUAUCUAUAAUAAAAUUAGAUGUAAGGGUUACAUAUUUAAAUAAAACAUUUUUAUUCCAGGUAUUAUUCUUUUAUUUAUAUGUCCAUUAUAUUUCUAUACAAAUUUACUAGCACCGUAUCAUUGUUCUCUGAGUCACACGUAAAAUUUCUAAGGAAGUCUUCUAAUCUCAUCCCCCUGAACUUGUAAUAUAUGUAUACCAAACAGUACUCUCCGCACACCGCCGAUAGGUAAUCCUGAACCGUAAGGUUAUUGUAUCUCCACAUGCAACAAUUCCUCCUUAAAAAUCCUUCUAUUGCUUCAAUAGGUUUACGUCCAAACGAAUCAAAGUAUUCCCCAACUCUUUCGACGUUUAUAUGAAUAGCCACCCAAUGAGACCCCGGCUGUGAAUCAGGGUCAAGAUUGCAUAUGAUAAGUGCUGGCACCUGAGCAUACAUCGGCAAUCGAUUUGAAGGAUAUACGUUGCUCUGGAGGCUGGGAUGUAUUCUACGAAGACUCAUUUGCACUUCUAGUGUGUUCAUACUUUAAUACGCGUUUACUCCCCUACUCUUUCACUCUUUUACUGACUACAUUUAUUACUAUCAAUUCAUAUUUAUACCAAUGUAUUUAAACACACAUAAUAUGAUCUCAACAUAAGUAAUGAGUCUCUUUGUAAAAAAAGUAAUGAAGGUAAAUAAAAACCAUGUCAUAUUCGAUUACAUUAUAUUUUAUUAUUCUUAAUAUCAUAAUAAUUACAUAAGUGAUUGCUUAACUACUAUAAUCCACACAUACAUUUCUGUUCUUAUCUAUUUCUAUAAUAUUUGAAAACUCUGCGUAAACUACACAGUUAAUUGUUUCAGUCAAUGCGCUCUCGAAUCUUACUUCCAUUCUUACACUACCAUGGCGUACAAGAUUCCAAUGCACAUUAGAGUUAGCCGACAAGUCAGGUGUUAAAUCAAAAGCUAGUAAACAGUAUCCAUUUGAAUAUUGUUCCCUCGAUAUUCCAUUACCUUCGUUAAGAAAAUGUAUACCGGUGCCUGAGUACAGGGUGUGGUAUGCGCUAGUAAAUACAUCGUUUGGAAAUGAUGGUUGUAACGAUUUUGAAGGUAUCUGUUGACCAUCUAUAUAUAGGCUAAAUGAGCAAAUACCAAAAUUUUCAAAGUUGAAAGGAUUUUUAACAUAACUACCGUUGAAUGCUGUAUUAUUCACAAAACCUAUAAUACAUCUCUUAGGAACCUGUCCUAUAAUAUACUUCAAAAGUAAUGAAGGUUAAUAAAAACCUGAUAAGGUUAUUCGUUUAUAUUUUCAUAUUCGUAAAUAUAUUUUAUUGUUCUUAAUAUUAUAAUAAUUAUACGUAUAUGUGGUUGCUAAACUACUAGAUACACACAUUUCUGUUAUUAUCUAUUUCAAAAAUAUUUAAAAAAUGCAAUGACUAUUAAGAUUGCAAAGGGUAUUUAGAGUGCCCUUUGUAUUUCUUAUCCACAUUUUACUGAUAGGUAUGGAUACUUGUUCAAACAUGCAGUCGAGUUGAAUAUCGUAACUAGAUAAUGAUAUCCAUUACCAGUCUAUAUAACCCGAUACUUGUAGAAAGAUUUAGUAUUGUGCUCUAAGUUCGACAAAAGUGAAGUGGUUGAAAGUUUGAAAUAAUAAACAACAAUGGAGUCUUCAUACAACCUGAAAGAUGUGGAUAAAUGUUUCAGACCAUAUAAUUAUUAUAAUUUAUCUGAUGAUGAAGAAGAGGUUUUAAACAUAACAGAAAAUAAAAAUAAGAAGACCAAUCGUUUAGAUGACUUUUUUCUUCAAGAACCUGACCGGAAGAAGAAAAAAACUAAACUUUCUUCAAGUGUUGGCCGUGCAGGGAAGGAGGGAAGCAUUUCAUAUAUAUCGACUGAUAAAGAUGAUGGAAUGGACGCUGACAUACUUGUUAAAAUGGAAUUAUAUAGUUUAAAAAAGUUGAAAGAAAUCCCAGUGGCACAACAUUGGAAAAAUGCAGAUAUUCGUGUUAAAUAUUAUAUGAAAAACGAUUCCAACAUUGAUGUUCAGAUAAAGGAUAUUGUAUACAACAUAACAAAGGGGAUAUCCGAGGAAGAUAGUGUAAAACGUUACAGUUUUAAAAAUUAGUUUCAUUUAGUUUCUUCAUGCUUCAGAUUUUAAUACCAUAUGUUUAUAUAAUUAAGUAAUGUUUCAGUUUUCCAUUAGUAUAAAUACUAUGUUGCAUUGUACAAAGUCAAUCAUUGUGCUUUUUGUUGAAGACCUUUGCGCAUUAAGGUUAAAAGUGUGAGACAAAAAACAGUUGUGAAACAAAUACAUAUAUACAAUGUCUCAAGAAUGUGUUAGUGUUUUUUUUGAUGAAAUGGAUCAUGAAUUUGAAAGCUUAUCCAUUGAUACAAUUGAACUUUUCAACGUUUGUGAUGAAAUAGAAAGAAAUGAUUUAAAUCACCCAUUUUAUGAUCAAAGAAUGAUGGUGCUAUGUGAUGAAUUCGAUGGGAAACUGGUUGAUCAAAUGGGUCGUGGAACUAAAAGGAAAGCAGCUGUUGAUAUUAACUCUGCUGACAUCAAAAGAAUAAAAUCUGGAUCGAACAUGGAUCUUUCACGGUCUUCACAAGAGCAAUCAACAUCGAAUGAAGGUAAUAAUUUUAACAUGAAAUUUUGCUGUAUUUGUAAUAGAAAUGUUUCCAAAAAAUAUUUCGCUAAUCAUCUAAGGAGCAAUGCACAUAAAAAUAAUGUAAAUAAAAAACAACAUUCAAUAAAACCCAAUGUUAAGAUAAUUGAGACUGCGUUCGGUAAUAGAAUAAUAACCUAUAGAGUAACUUCAGAAAAUCAAAAUGAUUUACAGUUUGAGACACCAGAGUUAUUUCUUGCAUCUGUCAAAGAUACAAUAUUUACAAUAAUAAAUAAAUCUAUAGAAGAUCAUACAAUUUUAAAAAUAAAUUUCAUUUUAUAUGGUGACUUUGUUCAGGAGACAAAAAACAUUAACAACACUUUUGAUUUCCAAUCAAUGAAUUUUAUUGUUUGUAUUGGUGAUGAUUUAAAUAUAUUUUAUACAACUCUCACGAAAUCUCU